GGACCCGCACAAGCAGCGGAGCAUGUGGUUUAAUUCGAAGCAACGCGAAGAACCUUACCUAGACUUGACAUCUCCUGAAUUACUCGUAACAGAGGAAGCCCUUCGGGGCAGGAAGACAGGUGGUGCAUGGUUGUCGUCAGCUCGUGUCGUGAGAUGUUGGGUUAAGUCCCGCAACGAGCGCAACCCCUAUUGUUAGUUGCUACCAUUAAGUUGAGCACUCUAGCAAGACUGCCUGGGUUAACCAGGAGGAAGGUGGGGAUGACGUCAAAUCAUCAUGCCCCUUAUGUCUAGGGCUACACACGUGCUACAAUGGUCGGUACAAAAAGAUGCAAACCCGUGAGGGGGAGCCAAACUGAAAAACCGAUCCCAGUUCGGAUUGUAGGCUGAAACUCGCCUACAUGAAGUUGGAGUUGCUAGUAAUCGCGAAUCAGCAUGUCGCGGUGAAUACGUUCCCGGGUCUU
rnacentral:rRNA from 1 species